UCAGAUUGCUAUCGUAUCUUACGGUAAAGAGAAACCAGCUGUAUUAGGGCACGAUGAAGCAGCUUACGCUAAAAAUCGUCGUGCUGUCUUAUCCUACUAAGAGAAUGCAAUGAGAAAUUAUUUCAGAUUUUAUCUAUUG
rnacentral:sRNA from 1 species